GCAGCCUGAUCCAGCCAUACCGCGUGGGUGAAGAAGGCCUUCGGGUUGUAAAGCCCUUUUGUUGGGAAAGAAAUCCUGCCGGUUAAUAACCAGUAGGGAUGACGGUACCCAAAGAAUAAGCACCGGCUAACUUCGUGCCAGCAGCCGCGGUAAUACGAAGGGUGCAAGCGUUACUCGGAAUUACUGGGCGUAAAGCGUGCGUAGGUGGUUGUUUAAGUCUGCUGUGAAAGCCCUGGGCUCAACCUGGGAAUUGCAGUGGAUACUGGGCGACUAGAGUGUGGUAGAGGAUAGUGGAAUUUCCGGUGUAGCAGUGAAAUGCGUAUAGAUCGGAAGGAACAUCUGUGGCGAAGGCGACUAUAUGGGCCAACACUGACACUGAGGCACGAAAGCGUGGGGAGCAAACAGGAUUAGAUACCCUGGUAGUCCACGCCCUAAACGAUGCGAACUGGAUGUUGGGCACAACUUGGUGCCCAGUAUCGAAGCUAACGCGUUAAGUUCGCCGCCGGGGGAGUACGGUCGCAAGACUGAAACUCAAAGGAAUUGACGGGGGCCCGCACAAGCGGUGGAGUAUGUGGUUUAAUUCGAUGCAACGCGGAGAACCUUACCUGGUCUUGACAUCCACGGAACUUUCCAGAGA
rnacentral:rRNA from 1 species